GACGUAGGGCGCGAGCGUUGUCCGGAUUUAUUGGGCGUAAAGAGCUCGUAGGCGGCUUGUCGCGUCGUCCGUGAAAACUUGGGGCUCAACCCCAAGCUUGCGGUCGAUACGGGCAGGCUCGAGUUCGGUAGGGGAGACUGGAAUUCCUGGUGUAGCGGUGAAAUGCGCAGAUAUCAGGAGGAACACCGGCGGCGAAGGCGGGUCUCUGGGCCGAUACUGACGCUGAGGAGCGAAAGCGUGGGGAGCGAACAGG
rnacentral:rRNA from 1 species